GAUGAACGCUGGCGGCGUGCCUAAUACAUGCAAGUCGAGCGAACAGACGAGGAGCUUGCUCCUCUGACGUUAGCGGCGGACGGGUGAGUAACACGUGGAUAACCUACCUAUAAGACUGGGAUAACUUCGGGAAACCGGAGCUAAUACCGGAUAACAUGUUGAACCGCAUGGUUCAACAGUGAAAGACGGUCUUGCUGCCACUUAUAGAUGGAUCCGCGCCGCAUUAGCUAGUUGGUAAGGUAACGGCUUACCAAGGCAACGAUGCGUAGCCGACCUGAGAGGGUGAUCGGCCACACUGGAACUGAGACACGGUCCAGACUCCUACGGGAGGCAGCAGUAGGGAAUCUUCCGCAAUGGGCGAAAGCCUGACGGAGCAACGCCGCGUGAGUGAAGAAGGUCUUCGGAUCGUAAAACUCUGUUAUUAGGGAAGAACAAAUGUGUAAGUAACUAUGCACGUCUUGACGGUACCUAAUCAGAAAGCCACGGCUAACUACGUG
rnacentral:rRNA from 1 species